rnacentral:tRNA from 1 species
UGCGCCCGUAGCUCAAUUGGAUAGAGCGUCUGACUACGGAUCAGAAGGUUAGGGGUUCGACUCCUCUCGGGCGCGCC